AGAGUUUGAUCCUGGCUCAGAAUGAACGCUGGCGGCGUGCCUAACACAUGCAAGUCGAACGAGAAACCCCGAGCUUGCUCGGGGGAGUAAAGUGGCGCACGGGUGAGUAAUGCGUGGGUAAUCUACUUCUAAGUCUGGGAUAACCUGCCGAAAGGCGGACUAAUACCGGAUGACAUCCGGAGUACUGCGGUACACCGGAUUAAAGAUGGCCUCUACAUGUAAGCUAUUGCUUGGGAAUGAGUCCACGUGCCAUUAGCUAGUUGGUGGGGUAAAGGCCUACCAAGGUGACGAUGGCUAGCUGGUCUGAGAGGACGAUCAGCCACACUGGAACUGAGACACGGUCCAGACUCCUACGGGAGGCAGCAGUGAGGAAUCUUGCGCAAUGGGGGCAACCCUGACGCAGCAACGCCGCGUGAGUGAAGAAGGCCUUUGGGUCGUAAAGCUCUGUCAAGUGGGAAGAACCUGUCACGUGAUAAUACCACGAGGCACUGACGGUACCACUGAAGGAAGCACCGGCUAACUCCGUGCCAGCAGCCGCGGUAAUACGGAGGGUGCGAGCGUUAUUCGGAAUUACUGGGCGUAGAGGGCGCGUAGGCGGCCCCUUAAGUCAGGCGUGAAAGCCCGGGGCUAAACCCCGGAAGUGCGUCCGAAACUGGGGGGCUUGAGUACGGGAGAGGGAAGUGGAAUUCCUGGUGUAGAGGUGAAAUUCGUAGAUAUCAGGAGGAACAUCGGUGGCGAAGGCGACUUCCUGGACCGAUACUGACGCUGAGGCGCGAAAGCGUGGGUAGCAAACAGGAUUAGAGACCCUGGUAGUCCACGCUGUAAACGAUGAACACUAGGUGUAGCGGGUAUUGACUCCUGCUGUGCCGCAGCUAACGCAUUAAGUGUUCCGCCUGGGGACUACGGUCGCAAGGCUAAAACUCAAAGGAAUUGACGGGGGCCCGCACAAGCGGUGGAGCAUGUGGUUUAAUUCGACGCAACGCGAAGAACCUUACC
rnacentral:rRNA from 1 species